UACGUGGGGGGCGAGCGUUGUUCGGAAUUAUUGGGCGUAAAGGGUGCGUAGGCGGUUUGGUAAGUCUGAUGUGAAAUCUAUGGGCUCAACUCAUAGUCUGCAUCGGAAACUGCCGGGCUUGAGUAUGGGAGAGGUGAGUGGAAUUCCUGGUGUAGCGGUGAAAUGCGUAGAUAUCAGGAGGAACACCUGUGGCGAAAGCGGCUCACUGGACCAUAACUGACGCUGAUGCACGAAAGCGUGGGGAGCAAACAGG
rnacentral:rRNA from 1 species